rnacentral:rRNA from 1 species
CCUACGGGAGGCAGCAGUGAGGAAUAUUGGUCAAUGGCCGUAAGGCUGAACCAGCCAAGUAGCGUGAGGGAAGACUGCCCUAUGGGUUGUAAACCUCUUUUAUGCGGGGAUAAAGGUGUCCACGUGUGGAUGUUUGCAGGUACCGCAUGAAUAAGGACCGGCUAAUUCCGUGCCAGCAGCCGCGGUAAUACGGAGGAUGCGAGCGUUAUCCGGAUUUAUUGGGUUUAAAGGGUGCGUAGGCGGACUGUUAAGUCAGCGGUAAAAGCCCGGGGCUCAACCGUAAAAUUGCAAUUGAUACUGGCAGUCUUGAGUACAGUUGAGGUAGGCGGAAUUCGUGGUGUAGCGGUGAAAUGCUUAGAUAUCACGAAGAACUCCGAUUGCGAAGGCAGCUUACUAAACUGCCACUGACAUUGAUGCUCGAAAGUGUGGGUAUCAAACAGGAUUAGAUACCCUUGUAGUC